rnacentral:lncRNA from 1 species
AAAUUGCGCCGCCACGGAGGGUUUGUGUGAGGGAUAGUUUGAAUGAGUAUGGGGUUUGGAGUGGGUCGGUGGUGAUUGCGGUGGUGUUGUAGACUGUGACGGUGGUGUCUUGUGCCAUUGGGAACAAGGUGUUUGUGAAAAUGCGUAGCAGAAGAGUGUAGUGAAAUUAAUUGUUGAAAUGCGUAGGUGAAAAGUGAUGCAUGGAAUUGCUUGGUGAUGGGAAAUAAGUAUACUGAGAAGAGAAGAAUCUAGAAUGUUUGAGAAUGGGUUCUGGAAAAUUCGAAUUUGAACAAAAAGAAGGUUUGAAUGAGUUGGAAUGGUUCAUGAUGUGUAAAGGUUUGAUUCUGUUUUUCUGAUGGAAUAUGGUGAAAAUUUGAGACACACUUGUGGAUUUUGAGAAAG